AACGAACGCUGGCGGCAGGCCUAACACAUGCAAGUCGAGCGCACCUUCGGGUGAGCGGCGGACGGGUUAGUAACGCGUGGGAACGUACCCUUUCUACGGAAUAGCCUUUGGAAACGAAGAGUAAUACCGUAUACGCCCUUUUGGGGGAAAGAUUUAUCGGAGAAGGAUCGGCCCGCGUUAGAUUAGGUAGUUGGUGGGGUAACGGCCUACCAAGCCUACGAUCUAUAGCUGGUUUUAGAGGAUGAUCAGCAACACUGGGACUGAGACACGGCCCAGACUCCUACGGGAGGCAGCAGUGGGGAAUCUUAGACAAUGGGGGCAACCCUGAUCUAGCCAUGCCGCGUGAGUGAUGAAGGCCUUAGGGUCGUAAAGCUCUUUCGCCUGUGAUGAUAAUGACAGUAGCAGGUAAAGAAACCCCGGCUAACUCCGUG
rnacentral:rRNA from 1 species